rnacentral:misc_RNA from 1 species
GAUGAAGAACGCAGCGAAAUGCGAUAAGUAAUGUGAAUUGCCGAAUUCAGUGAAUCAUCGAAUCUUUGAACGCACAUUGCGCCCGCCAGUAUUCUGGCGGGCAUGCCUGUUCGAGCGUCAUUACAACCCUCAGGCCCCCGGGCCUGGCGUUGGGGAUCGGCGGAGCCCCCCGUGGGCACACGCCGCCCCCCAAAUGCAGUGGCGGUCCCGCCGCAGCUUCCAUCGCGUAGUAGCUAACACCUCGCGACUGGAGAGCGGCGCGGCCACGCCGUAAAACACCCAACUCUUCUGAAGUUGACCUCGAAUCAGGUAGGAAUACCCGCUGAACUUAAGCAUAUCAAUAAGCGGAGA